AAAGACAGAACCGGGGAGUGAGACGGAGAGAAACCGAACCAAGGAAAAUUUUGGUCCAUCAACCAGCAGCACCUCGUGCUUUUACCACCAUUGUCUCCGUCUUAGACGGAGAAGAUCGGACAGAGAACUAGAAAAGGGAACAAACUGGAGGAGAGGAAGUAACACUGGGAACACCACCAGACGAGCAAAAACAGAGAGGAAACAAAGCAGACACAGGGGGGAGAAAACGAACACCAAAGGAAGAAAAUAGAGGACUAAACCCAGCUUUGGUUUAGUUCCAGAUUCAAGCAUAACACAGAAUAAAACAGAGCAAGAAAACAAAGAAAGAAGAACCACCCGAGAGAACCGGCAUCGUCAUCUUCUUAAUUCCUCCAUCCCAAGAACUGAGAAAACAGAGGAACACAAAGAAAAAGCAGAAAAGGCGGUAGGAACGGCAGCAAAGGAAAGCAAAAGGCAAGGUCAGACGCAAACGGGAGGAACCACCACGCUGCAACCAUCUUCCUCGUCUCUAGAAGCAGGUACGCCCAUCCCACUUUUAUUCUCCAUGUUCAAUAAAACAUUGAACACAGUGUGAAGGUAAUUUAAUUACCUUCACACUGUGUGCAUCUUGCCUAGCCGGGUCGCUGGCUUGGGCCAGGGACCGGGCCGGGCCGGGCUGGCUGGGUCCAGCCCAAAAAAAAAAACUAAAAAAAUUAAAAAUUAAAAAAAACAGAAAAAAUAAAAAUGUGUAUGCAUGAAUAAAAAUAAUGUAAAUUUAUUGGUUUAUUCACCAACGCCAGAGUUGGGAAUAAAAAUACUGGUUUAAAUUUAUAUUAUUUUUAUUCGUUAUAUUUUAUUUUAUUUAGCUAGAAAAUAAAAAAUAUGUGCAUGCGUAAAAAAAUAUUUUUUUAUGUGAAUAUUCACUUGCGCCAGAGUCAGGAAUAUUAUAAGUAAAUUAUCACAGCAUAAACUAAUAAACAUUUAGCAAUUUAAGACAAAACCAACAAUGCAGUCUGCCUCAGGCAGAACGUUUAAGGGGUGAUAAUAUCUUUCCUUUUACGUAACCAAUCCCGAGCCAUAGAAUCUCUGAUGACCAGUUAGGGUUUCUAGUGACCAUAAUACUAGGUGGCGACUCCUCAAACAAGACCUUUUCCCCUAAAAGAACAAGAUGCCAGAUAUCUAUUCUUUUUCCAUAAUCGAGAAUUUUAUUUUGUGGGCCGCCGCGAUGUCGGGUGCGACAGAAUGGCGACUCCACUGGGGACCUUAGGAUUAAGCUUUGUCUUUUGUCUUAUUAUUGCUUUUUUUUUUGUGUUGAUUUGUUUAUUUUUCCUGCAUUUACUGCUUUAGCAUGCAUCUUUUUUUAUGUUGUCAUGCAUCACUUUGGAAGCACACACUUUACAAACUAGGAUAAGUGGGGGAGUAACGGUACCCCAAUGGCUUUAGCCUGGGUAAGACUCGUGAAACCAUCCAACUCUCGCUUGAUUGUUUACUUGGAAGUGGUUGAUAUGCCAAACUGAUAUUACUCAGGGCCUCUAUCUUCACACUACUUGUAAGCCUCAUAUCGACCUUUCAUGGACGAUCACUGAGCAUGCGAGAGACCCUUUGAAACUAGAUAAUGACCAACCCUUUGAUGCACUCAAUAAUUAGGAACUUCCUAUUAGGUUGUCAUCCCGUGUAGGGCAAGUCCGCAUUUCAUACGCAUUUUUUUAAUUGCUUCAGCAUUUUUGCAUAAUUACAUGAUUUACAUUUAGCAGGUUGAAAUAUAGGUUCCCCAUUGAAAUCCAUUUAUAGCCCUCGUUCGAGAAAAAGACAAAUGGAAAAUGAAGAAAGAGCCUAGUUGGAAGCCCAACAUCAAAAAGAGAUGGAUAAUCUUAAAGAAGAAGUCGCAAGACUUACUAGUCUACUCGAGCAGGCCUUGAGAGAUAAAUCCGGAAAAGCAACACUUAUAGCUCAGCCUGAAGAUAUGCAUGUAACUCAUUUCGAUUCACAGAAUCUGGGGGCAAAUAGGGUGUCAUCUGAAUUUCAACAAGCUAUACAUUUCCAGCCAGCAUACCCUAGGAGAAUGUCGUUUACCAUUGAUUCUACCGAGAAAAAAUCUCAAAAGGACAAGAUGGUGAAAGAAAAGGACUUGGAAAAAUGGACUGCCUUAGAAGAGAGGAUAAGGGCAGUUGAGGGAGACCAUUUGUGUGACCUGGUGAAAGCUGUCAAUAUGUGUUUGGUACCUAACAUAGUCAUUCCUAAAAAGUUUAGGGUGCCAGAAUUCAUUAAAUAUACGGGAAUUCAAUGCCCUAUAACUCAUCUCAAAGCAUACUACAACAAAAUGGCUGAGGUGGUUGAUGAUGAGAAAUUGCUGAUUCAUUUCUUCCAAGACAGCUUGAGUGACGCUGCCCUCACUUGGUAUAUGCGGUUGGACAAUACCAAGGUUAAAAAAUGGAAGGACUUAGUUGAUGCCUUCAUGAGGCAAUAUAAGUUCAAUAUAGACGUGGGCCCUGAUCGUUUAAGCUUGCAAGCUAUGGAGAAGAACAACAAGGAGUCCAUAAGAGAAUACGCCCAGAGAUGGAGUGAGGUAGCUGCACAAGUUAACCCUUCCAUGUUGGAAAAGGAGAUGAUCAAUUUAUUUUCCAACACCUUUAAAGCUCUAUACUUUGAAUACAUGGUUAGAAGCUCUACACAACAUUUCACUGACCUAGUUAUUAUAGCUGAGAGGAUUGAACAAGCCAUUGGGUUAGGUAAAAUUGCUGGUCCGAUUGAAAAGAACGAUUUCACCGAAAAAGGAAAGGACAUUGAAGGGGGUUGCCAAGGCACUUACCGUUCUUAUAGUUAAUUUCUUUACACCGACUCCCAUAUAUCAACUGUUUUGAAGAUAAAGCUAUGGUGAUAGUAGGUCGAGAAUGGUCUGCAUGUGACUGCAACUAAGUGUUGAAAAGAUGCCUUUGUCAAGGAGAAUGAAUGAUUGAAAGAUUCCAGAAAUUUCAAUCAAUGAUCACUAAAUGUUUAGCCCCUUUAUGUGUUAUCAUGUCAGUAUUCAUGUUGGUAUAAGAUCUUUGUUAUUGAACUUAUUUUCCUAAGUUUCAAUGAAAUAAUGAGUUUGUCAUUCAAUCGUGUUCACGACCAAUCAUUAUUCAUCUGAUUAAGAGAAUUUUCUUAUAAGAACUCACGAAUACACUUUUGAAGCCUCGCGUGAUCUCAUAGACUCAAUUCAUCCCUUUUACCAAAAUCAGUUUCCCUAUUGGAGUUUUGAAAAAUUGAUCUGGUAUUUUGAUUUAAAAAAAAAUAAUUUGAUGUUCUUUCAAAAAUGAUAUUUUUAACAUUCUACUUGUAGAAUGAUAAUUGAAUUAAGCAACUCCAUCAUUGAGGUGACUAUUAUAAACCAAAAAGAAAAAAAAGAAAAAGAAAUGAACCCUAUCCCAUGACUCUUGAAUCAUGUGUUUUUAAAUGUAUGAAUAAUGGUAUGUAGUGAACUCGUUACUUAUGACUCAUGAAAUGCAUCUUUGCAAAGACCAAACCAUCAUACUAGAUGAGGUCAAAGUUUAUUGAUCAUAGCUGCUUGCGCUUGAAAUGAGGAAAGGCCAUCUUUGUUAUCCCUUUCACUUUCUAAAAUAAAUACAUCCCUUGCGAUCCCUUUUUGAGCCUGAAUAAUUUCUUUCAUGAAAAAAAUCCCGACUAGGAUCACACCCCACACUGGGGGGCAAGAGAAAAUUUCAAUGAGAAAAGACAAAAAGCCAUGAAAAAAAAGGGGCAUAAAAGCUCAAGAAACUCAAAUGCUAGGGGACAUGUCCAAAUCACUAAAAAAGUGACAUCUAAGAUAAAGUAAGUACGCCCUAGCAAAGCAAUAAAAAAAGAAGAAGCAGCAAAUCAAAGAAGAGCGGCAAAAGAAAAUGUGAAUGACGUCAAGAGUCAAACUGUUGAUAGUGAUCCUCAGUCUUUGAAACCCUGAAACACUCUUUGAGCCUUAUGAAUCCUUUUAUUUCAUAGCCAAAAACCACAGCCUACGUUACGUGCCUGUAGAAGUCCUUUCUAAUCAAGCAAGCAAGUGACCUAGAACAAUAAACAAUGCUCUCAAAAUGCAAAGAAUACUUUUUCAUAAGAUUCAUGACAUCAAGAAUAAACUACUCAUUAUUAUUCAUGCUGAUAAAAAUGAAUGUUUAAAAAGAGACAAGUUGUUUUUCUCAAACAAAACCUCGAGCUUUUUCUCGAGCCCUUCACUUUGAAAACCUAUAAAAACAAAAAGGUCAUCUCAUGACAUAUUUUCACCAAAAGACCUCAUUGCCAAACACAAGAGCAAAUAAUCUCUUUUUCAAAAAAGAAAAUAACCAAAAAGUUGCAAGAUUUCAAAAGCAAAUUGUUUUAGAUUCACAUUGAAAUAAUUUUUGUUUUCAAAAUGCAAGAUCAAGAUUUCAAGAUUCAUUCUAGACCCAUAUUCCUUCACCAAACUAAAAGAGAGAGAAAUGGGAUAAGAGCCUCUUAAAACCAUUAUUUGUCUAAGUAGCUGACAGAGCAUACUUGGGGGCAAUGAUCAAUACAAGGGGGCAACAUUGUGUUUAGAAGAAAAAUUCUAGGAAAAAGAUGGUAAUUUCCUCCAACCAGACAAGGGGGCAUUUUGUUUUAUGAAAGACAGUUUGAUCCUUUCAGCAAGUGGCACCGAAUGUUUUUAGUAGUGAGAUGAGGAGUAAUGAAUAAUCCUCUCAAAUUAUCCGACGAGACAGAAAAUCUCUAGCAAGCAAGUGGGUCACGAUGGGCACCACAAAGGCUGAGUUGUGCAAACAAAUCUGGAAAUAGACUUACAUGGGCCAACUCGAGUGGGCUAGAAGCCAAGCGACAAAGGUGACUCAAAUCAAAGAUAGCAAGUCCUUAUCAGUCAAGCAACAAAAAGACUAAGAAGAAAUGGGGGCCUAUAUUUCAAAACAGGUAAAGAUGCAUGCAUAUCAUCUUUGAGACAUUGAACAAUGAGUUUUGCAAAUUUCAUUACAGAAAAUUCCAACGGAAUCCAGCAAGUGGAAGGCCAACUUGAAAUGGUCAGGAUUGAAAUUGCUUUUGAAAAAUUUUUGCUUUUGAGAAUUUUUCAACCUGGGCAGGCCGCCCCCAAGAAUUAGGCCCUAUGAAAAAUCUCUAUGUUUUCCACCUUCUUAAAAUGCGCCUUCGAGCCUUUGAUCAUCAUUUUUAGGGCGCUUUUAAGUCCUUAUCUCCUUUCAAGUGCGCCUUCGAGCCCUUGACCAUCCAAGGUAUUGCGUUUCUUAACCCUACCUCCCUUUUCGAGCGCGCCUUUGAGCCCUCGCUUCCCUUCGAGUGCGCCUUUGAGCCCUCGCUUUCCUCUUCGAGCGCGCCUUUGAGCCCUCGCUUUCCUCUUCGAGCGUGCCUUUGAGCCCUCGCUUCUCUUCGAGCGCGCCUUUGAGCCCUCGCUUUCCUCUUCGAGUGCCUUUGAGCAUUUGUUUUCCUCUUCGAGGGCCUUUGAGCACUUGCUUUUCUCUUCGAGCGCGCCUUUGAGCCCUCGCUUUCCUCUUCGAGCGCGUCUUUGAGCCCUCGCUUCUCUUCGAGCGCACCUUUGAGCCCUCGCUUUCCUCUUCGAGUGCCUUUGAGCAUUUGCUUUCCUCUUCGAGUGCCUUUAAGCACUUGCUUUUCUCUUCGAGCGCGCCUUUGAGCCCUCGCUUUCCUUUUCGAGCGCGCCUUUGAGCCCUCGCUUCUCUUCGAGCGCGCCUUUGAGCCCUCGCUUUCCUCUUCGAGUGCCUUUGAGCAUUUGCUUUCCUCUUCGAGUGCCUUUAAGCACUUGCUUUUCUCUUCGAGCGCGCCUUUGAGCCCUCUCUUCCCUUCGAGCGCGCCUUUGAGCCCUCGCUUUCCUCUUCGAGCGCACCUUUGAGCCCUCGCUUCCCUUCGAGCGCGCCUUUGAGCCCUCGCUUCUCUUCGAGGCGCCUUUGAGCCCUCGCUCUCUUCGAGUGGCUCUCUUCGAGUGCGCCUUUGAGCACUUGCUUUUCUCUUCGAGCGCGCCUUUGAGCCCUCGCUUUUCUCUUCGAGCGCGCCUUUGAGCCCUCGCUUUCCUCUUCGAGUGCCUUUGAGCACUCGCUUUCUUCUUGCAUUCUUUUGAGUGCGCCUUUGAGCACUCGCUUUCUUCUUGCAUUCUUUUGAGUGCGCCUUCGAGCCUCUCAUUUUUCUUUUUUUUAUACUUGGAUAGAUCACCCAUCACAAUGAGACCACUGUAAAAAAAAAAAACAACAACAAAAAAAACAAAAAAUAUAUACAAAAACAAAUGGGUCGUCUUCCAAAUGAUUUGUUUCUUGAUUUCUACAUCUCUCUGUAAAGGUUGUGUGUCAAUCUAUUGCUUUCAAAGUUUUCAAGACUGAAAAAAAAAANNNNNNNNNNNNNNNNNNNNNNNNNNNNNNNNNNNNNNNNNNNNNNNNNNNNNNNNNNNNNNNNNNNNNNNNNNNNNNNNNNNNNNNNNNNNNNNNNNNNAAAAAAAAAACAAAAUUUUUAUUCUUUCUGUAUCUACUUUUCUUUAUAAAUUUACUACACAAAGCUAAAAGAAAAUGAAAUUUUCCAAUAUCUUUGCAUAAUAAAUAUUAUAAAGAGGGGGCAACUGUCAUAACCCAAUUUUUGACUAUUUUAUUUUAAUUAUUAUUAUUAUUUUAUUUACUGGAAAGAAUAAAAAAAAAAUGAUGAUGGAAAAAUAAUAAUAAUAAUGAUGGAAAAACAAGUAAAAUGAAAUAAAGAAUGAAUUAAAAUUUGGGUUAAGGGCAAAAUGAUUGGAAGUUUUGGGGUUUAAUUAAACAUUUAAAUUAACUUAAUUAAGCUUGGAAUUAAUUUAAUUAAUCCAAUUAAGGGUUUAAUUGGAGAAUUGAUAAAUGUUUAGACUUAAUUAAGCUUGAAAUUAACUUAAUUCAUCCAAUCAAGGGUUUAGUUGGAGAAUUAAUAAGUUUUGAGACUUAAUUAAGCUUGGAAUUAAUUUAAUUAAUCCAAUCAAGGGCUUAAUUGGAGAAUUGAUAAGUUUUAGACUUAAUUGGACUUUGGAUUUAAUUAAAUUAAUGAAAUCAGGGACUUAAUUGAAGAAAUAACAAAGUUUGGGGUUAAUUGGGGGCAUGAUUGCAUCAGUUUAAAGUCAAAGGAUUAACUUGUAAAAGGCGCCGAAAUACAGGGGCCAAUUACAGUUUAAACCAGGGGCUUAAUUACAAGACUUUUGAAGCUACAGGGGUCAAAAUGUAAAAUGACCAUCUCAUAUCCCAAACGGCGUCGUUUUGAAGGGACGCUGUUCAUCUUCUUCUUUAAACCAGUGGCCGUUUUCCACAGUAAAGACCAAGAGACGUUGCAGCAGUAAAUCAUCCGUUGGUUCCAGUAAUGGGCGCCUUAAUGGUGGUCGACCCUCAGCCUACCGCCCGUUACCACCCGCUGAACUCUAUAUAAACAGAGGAACACCGAAAAAACAGGGGCUGGUUAGUGGGAGAGAGGAAGAAAAAGACAGAACCGGGGAGUGAGACGGAGAGAAACCGAACCAAGGAAAAUUUUGGUCCAUCAACCAGCAGCACCUCGUGCUUUUACCACCAUUGUCUCCGUCUUAGACGGAGAAGAUCGGACAGAGAACUAGAAAAGGGAACAAACCAGAGGAGAGGAAGUAACACUGGGAACACCACCAGACGAGCAAAAACAGAGAGGAAACGAAGCAGACACAGGGGGGAGAAAACGAACACCAAAGGAAGAAAAUAGAGGACUAAACCCAGCUUUGGUUUAGUUCCAGAUUCAAGCAUAACACAGAAUAAAACAGAGCAAGAAAACAAAGAAAGAAGAACCACCCGAGAGAACCGGCAUCGUCAUCUUCUUAAUUCCUCCAUCCCAAGAACUGAGAAAACAGAGGAACACAAAGAAAAAGCAGAAAAGGCGGUAGGAACGGCAGCA
rnacentral:lncRNA from 1 species